AAGCUAUGGGAGUAGAUUCUAGGAGAAGAAAAGAAGAAAAUACAGCCUGCAGCAACUACAAAUUGAGUGAGAGAAUGAGCCAAAGGGUGUGACAAGAGAACAACAAGGAUGGCAUAACAACGUCCAGGUCCUUAUUGAAGAUGACAAGACAUGGAUUAUUGCAUGAACCAUGAGCGGUUUUGUUUGGCAUGGAACACACAUGUGAACCCGUUUGUUCUGUUUUACUUGCCCCCAAACAGAAGCCAAAGGAGAGAUAGAAGGGUGUAGGGACAGAAUCUUCCUGGGUCUCUCUCAUUUUAUAUUGACAUCAGAAUCAUAGGCACGGGCUGAGACAUGUUUUCCCAACUCGUCGAUCAAUAAUUCACUCUCCCUCUUCCAUUCUCAUCCAUUUAUUAGCCCUUCACCCUCCUUUUCUUUCCCCACAACACAUUGCUUUCAUUUUAUCUAUAUGAUAAUGAAAUCUUCACAUAUUCUUUUGUUCUGUGUCCUUGCAACUGCUUCCUAUGUCUUCUACCAACAUUUUUCUAUUGCUUCUUUGAAUUUUCUUCCAGGAAGGAGACGCGUGAGAGAAUUGAGCAUGUCAUUCUCCAACCCAAAGCAUGAAUACCAGAAGAUCCAGGAUGUUGAUGAAGAAAUGAAGAGAUCUACAAUGCAAGAAGAUUCCAUUGCUGUACAACACAGAAGCAGCAGUGAGAAUUCAGAAGAGAAUGUUUACCACAUCGAUUAUCAUGGAGUCAAAACUCAUCCAACUCCAACUCCCAAACACCCCCAACCUUAGAACCUUACAAGCUUUCCCUACGGAAGCAUUUAUUCAUGCAUGUCCUGUAUUCCUAAUCAAUAGAUACAACAAUGUACUAGUAUAUAUAAUAAUAUUUCGGAUGGAAAUAUUUUGCUUCAAA